rnacentral:rRNA from 1 species
AAUUUUAAGGUCAAGCUACAAAGGGCGCAUGGUGAAUGCCUUGGCACUAGGAGCCGAAGAAGGACGCGAUAAGCUGCGAUAAGCCUUGGGUAGCCGCAAAUAGGCUGAGAUCCAGGGAUUUCCGAAUGAGGAAACUCACAUGGGUAACCCCAUGUAUCAUGCACUGAAUACAUAGGUGUAUGAGGGUAAACCCGGGGAACUGAAACAUCUAAGUACCCGGAGGAAGAGAAAGAAAAAUCGAUUUCCUAAGUAGCGGCGAGCGAACGGGAAAGAGCCCAAACCAGAAACUUGUUUCUGGGGUUGUGGAUAGAUCAUAAAAGAAGAGGUAUCUUAAUCGAAGAGGGCUGGAACGCCCUACCAUAGAAGGUAAUAGUCCUGUAGGUAAAAAGAGAAAACUUCGAGAUCUAAUCCAGAGUACCACGAGACACGUGAAACCUUGUGGGAAGCAGGGAGGACCACCUCCCAAGGCUAAAUACUACCUAGUGACCGAUAGUGAAGCAGUACCGUGAGGGAAAGGUGAAAAGAACCCCGGAAGGGGAGUGAAAUAGAACCUGAAACCGUGUGCCUACAACCGAUCGGAGCACGUUAA